rnacentral:rRNA from 1 species
AUGUUCCGCCGCAGAAAAACAGAUAUCAAAUACUAUGUCUGCACCAUCAACAAAACAUUUGCAAAGCUAGGCCAACCGAUGUAUUUUCAAGUCAACUACACUGAAAGAAAACUAAAUGAUUACAUUGACCCAGAUUAUGAUACGCUCAAGGUCAGGCUUGCAAAUAGUGAUCUACAAGCCAAUUGCCGCAUCAUGCUAGGAACCGACAAGAGAGCCAUUGUAACAAUCAACUGGUCUGAGUUCCGUUGCCUUGCAAAAAUCCAUGGAGACAUCUCUGCCUUUCGUUUCAAGGUCACCACAAAGCAGCGCCGGGUUCUCAUGGUGCAUUUUUGUCGUGGUGACUACUCUCAGCCAGAUAUGUAUAGACUUUAG